CCUACGGGAGGCAGCAGUGAGGAAUAUUGGUCAAUGGACGAGAGUCUGAACCAGCCAAGUAGCGUGAAGGAUGACUGUCCUAUGUGUUGUAAACUUCUUUUAUAAAGGAAUAAAACGAGGCACGUGUGCCUUUUUGCAUGUACUUUAUGAAUAAGGAUCGGCUAACUCCGUGCCAGCAGCCGCGGUAAUACGGAGGAUCCGAGCGUUAUCCGGAUUUAUUGGGUUUAAAGGGAGCGUAGAUGGGUUGUUAAGUCAGUUGUAAAAGUUUGCGGCUCAAACGUAAAAUUGCAAUUGAUACUGGCAGUCUUGAGUACAGGUGAGGUAGGCGGAAUGCGUGGUGUAGCGGUGAAAUGCUUAGAUAUCACGCAGAACCCCGAUUGCGAAGGCAGCUUACUAACCUGUGACUGACAUUGAUGCUCGAAAGUGUGGGUAUCAAACAGGAUUAGAUACCCGUGUAGUC
rnacentral:rRNA from 1 species